rnacentral:rRNA from 1 species
AUGGGGGCAGUAUUGAGAGACGACAAAGGUCGGUUUAUUGCAGGAGGGAAUGGAAAGAUAGACUACUGCGUGGAUGUUCUCAGGGCAGAGGCCUUAGCUCUCAAAUUUGGCCUAAAUUUAACGCAAAGGGCGGGAUGUAAUCGGCUAAUCAUCAACUCUGACAAUCUGGAGGCGAUUGAGACCAUGCAGGACAGAGAACAGUCAGCGGGAGCGGCGGCAGCAAUCUUCGAUGACUGCUAUCACUAUGCUUGUGAUUUUAUCAUGACUAAAUUCGAACAUUGUAAUAGAGAGGCAAAUAAAGUAGCACAUGAACUUGCUAGAUUAGCUAGGUUUUUUUCGACUUCGGAUUGGUUUGAGGAGCCUAUUAGUGAAAUUGUAAUGUUUCUCACAAACGAUGUAUUGGUUAUUGCUAAUGAAUAA